rnacentral:rRNA from 1 species
GACGAACGCUGGCGGCGUGCUUAACACAUGCAAGUCGAACGGAAAGGCCCUGCUUUUGUGGGGUGCUCGAGUGGCGAACGGGUGAGUAACACGUGAGUAACCUGCCCUUGACUUUGGGAUAACUUCAGGAAACUGGGGCUAAUACCGGAUAGGAGCUCCUGCUGCAUGGUGGGGGUUGGAAAGUUUCGGCGGUUGGGGAUGGACUCGCGGCUUAUCAGCUUGUUGGUGGGGUAGUGGCUUACCAAGGCUUUGACGGGUAGCCGGCCUGAGAGGGUGACCGGCCCCAUGGGGCUUGGGGAGCGGCCAGGAGCCCAUCGGGGAGCAUGGGGGGGAAAUUUUGCCAAACGGGCGGAGUGCUGGAGGAAGACCCCCGGGUGGGGAAGAACGGCUUUCGGGUUAGAAACCCCUUUCGCUUGUACCCAGGCGUGAUGACGGUAAAUGGGUAAAAAACCCCGGCUAAAUUCGUG